rnacentral:rRNA from 1 species
CUAACAAGGAUUCCCCUAGUAACUGCGAGUGAAGAGGGAAGAGCUCAAAUUUAAAAUCUGGCAGUGUUUCGCUGUCCGAGUUGUAAUCUAGAGAAGUGCUGCCCGUGCUGGACCCAUGUACAAGUCUCCUGGAAUGGAGCCUCACAGAGGGUGAGAAUCCCGUCUUUGACAUGGACUUCCCAGUGCAUUUGUGGUGUGCUCUCAAAGAGUCGAGUUGUUUGGGAUUGCAGCUCUAAAUGGGUGGUAAACUCCAUCUAAAGCUAAAUAUUGGCGAGAGACCGAUAGCGAACAAGUACCGUGAGGGAAAGAUGAAAAGAACUUUGGAAAGAGAGUUAAACAGUAUGUGAAAUUGUUGAAAGGGAAACGCUUAAAGUCAGUCAUGUCAGCCAGGGAUCAACUUGGCUUUUUUUUGCUGAGUGUACUUCCUGAUCUUGAUGGGCCAACAUCAGUUUUGAUUGCUGGACAAGGGCAAGAGGGAAUGUGGCACCAUUUUUUGGUGUGUUAUAGCUCUCUGUCAGAUGCAGUGGUCAAGACUGAGGACAGCAGCAUGCCAAUAAAGGCCGGGUUUCGACCACGUUCAUGCUGAGGAUGUUGGCAUAAUGGCUUUAAUCGACCCGUCUUGAAACACGGACCAAGGAGUCUAACAUGCCUGCAAGUGUUUGGGUGUCAGACCCAAGUGCGAAAUGAAAGUGAAAGGUUGAGAUCCUUCUCAUAAAGGGAGCAUCGACGCCCAGACCUAAUCUUUUAGUGAAGGAUCUGCGGUAGAGCAUGCAUGUUAGGACCCGAAAGAU